ACAUAGGUAUCGUCUCCGGAAAAUGAUGGCCCCUUCUCCGGGGUCACCACGCAGCCACUGCCUAAUCAGCAGUUGGGGUCUGCCCUGAGGAGCAUUCCAAGGAGAUGCAGCACCAGGGAAGCUGGAGUGCGCGCGCUCCGGACUUUGAGAAAGACAAACUCCCCUAGCCCGCCCCGCCCCCGCUCCCACCGCAGUCCUAGGUCUCUUCAAAUGUUAGGUCUUGGCCAGCUUGGCGGUGUCUUGCCCUGAGCACACGCCUUCGCGUCCGCUACCGGCCGGGCGGUCCCGGAGGAGCCAGCAAGCAGUCGUCCCUUGGUGCCCUGACUUUGGGACAUUCGGGGCGUCUGCUCUGAAUGGCUGGAGUGUGCGCUGCCUGGAGCCGCUGCUCUGAUGAGGAAAUUCAGGGGUGGAGGAGUAAGUGACCUGCCAGAAGGUCUAGAGGCAGGAUUCAAACUCAUGCCUAUCUGACGCACCAUGGUGUAAUCUUUCUGUGCAAGACAAGACUGUGCCAGAUGGAAGAACGUCAUUCUGGGGAAAGGCAUUGUUUUCUGUCACCAGCCCUGAUACUGUUCAUCUCUCCGACCUCAGUUUUCCUGUGUGGAACUACUCCAAGACUGAGAAGAAAGCAUGUUGGCAGUGGAGUCCUGGAUCAUGGAUGAAGGCCCCAGAGUUAGAGGGAAAUCUCAGCCAACUGAAUGACCAGAGACAUCUUCAUUUGAAGAACAGGCAGGUUAAAUGCAAGUCUUUCUGGCCCUGUUGGGGGCAUUGCUUUUUA